rnacentral:rRNA from 1 species
AGUGAACGCUGGCGGUAGGCCUAACACAUGCAAGUCGAACGGCAGCACAAUAAGAGCGCGCUCCUACGGGGGGCGAGGGGCGGACGGGUGAGGAGUACAUCGGAAUCUACUUUACCGGGGGGGACUACGGAGGGAAACUUAUGCUAAUACCGCAUACGACCUACGGGAGAAAGCAGGGGAUCUUCGGACCUUGCGCGAUUGAAUGAGCCGAUGUCGGAUUAGCUAGUUGGCGGGGUAAAGGCCCACCAAGGCGACGAUCCGUAGCUGGUCUGAGAGGAUGAUCAGCCACACUGGAACUGAGACACGGUCCAGACUCCUACGGGAGGCAGCAGCCGGGAAUAUUUGCCAAUGGUCGCACGCCUGAUCCCGCCACGCCGCUUGUGUGAAGUAGGGCUUCGGCUUGUAACACCCUUUUGUUUGGUAAGAAAGUCUGCCUGCUGCCUCCGCGCUGUUUUGCCGGUACCCAAAGCUUCAGCACCGGCUAACUUCGUG